UAGCUAUUUAGGUUAGAGUUUGAUCAUGGCUCAGAGCGAACGCUGGCGGCAGGCUUAAUACAUGCAAGUCGAGCGCCCGUAGCAAUACGGGAGCGGCAGACGGGUGAGUAACGCGUGGGAACGUACCUUUUGGUUCGGAACAACACAGGGAGACUUGAGCUAAUACCGGAUACGCCCUUACGGGGAAAGAUUUAUCGCCGAAAGAUCGGCCCGCGUCUGAUUAGCUAGUUGGCGGUGUAAUGGACCACCAAGGCUACGAUCGGUAGCUGGUCUGAGAGG
rnacentral:rRNA from 1 species